CUGAGGGCACCGAUGGCGAUCUCAGGCUGCAGCUGCAGGACACAUGCGGAUCACAUGACAGUGAAGCAGCUGCAGAUCCUGUCAUACGGGAGAGAGAAAAUGCCCCUGGAGUUCUGAGGAGAGAGUGUGUCCCUUGAGCGUGGGAGCACAGAGCCGGUGAAGGCUGGGAAAAGAAGAAAGUCUGUUCUGAGACAGGGUCUCUCUGGGUAGCCCAAGCUGGCCCAAAUUCAAGAUUUCCCUGUUCACCUUCCAAGCGCUAGGACAAUAGGCUUCUCAUGCUUGAGACACACCUACCAAAGUCCACUAAAGAGGCCCAGACGAGCCCAAAGGCAAAGGACCGGCCUUUCAUUGCAGCGCUGUCCUGCUGGAGUCCUGCUUCUAGCCAGGAGCUCCGUCUCUCUGCCAGCCCUGCGGACUUUUCAUCACCGGCUAUUUCAGGCCAGAGUCCAAGAUAAGCACCCCUCUUGGGCCUCCUUUCAGACAAAGCUCUCUGGAGGCUAUGGGCCCGGGGACUGUCUGAUCUUUGGUCUCUGGAGGAAGUGAAGCAACAAUCUGGUCUUAGAUGAAGACAUCAAGAGCUCGAGGGACGGGAUUGAGCAACGAGGCGGCAGAACCAGAAAGGUUGCCCUGAUAAGAACGUUCUAGGGCACCCACAAAAGAGGGCCUUUGUUGCUUGUGGGGGCCUGAAGCUUACAAAGCACCUUCACACCCGGUAAUAUAGGAGAAGAGAGUCCCAGGCAGCCUGCGCGAUUUGCCCAAGGUCGCAGGGAGCGAGGCACAGUUCUUCGCUGCACUUCCAAGUUCACAACACUGGGAGGAAGAAUCGGGCAGUCUUCUUCCACCAGCAAGACACACAGGACAAAGAAGAGCGGAGCGCAGCGUGGAGGACACAAAGCAGCCGGGACUCAGGGACGUGAGGCUGGGGGUGAGGGUCAGGACGGGAAUCUCGGGGCGUGGGAGUGACAGUCCGUGCUGACCCUGGGAGGGCUUAGGGGCGGGGUGGAUUCUGACGGGAUUUGUCUGAAUAGAAAAUAGAGACAAUGAAGAGCAAACAUUAGCGUGCAGAUUCUGAGACUGAAAGACAAGAAGGCCCACGCUGGCAUAGAAAAAGGUCUUUGGAUAGCUCAGUUGAGAACUGGAGCUCUCGCCAAUCAAACUUACCCAGUCGCGCUGAUCACUCAGAAGCAAUCUCAGAAGGGUGGCUCGACGGAAACCCGACACCGCCCAGGAGCCCGUGGCCCUCUGGGAGUAGUAGUUCCUUUCACUUAACAUGCGAGCUUAAACCUUAUGUUCUGCCUCUAGUUGUUAAACUACAAGUCCCGAGGCGCAAAGCGAGAGACACCGCCUUGCCACCCCAGGACUACAAUUCCCAGAGUUCCCGACUACAGCUUGGUGGAGUCAAACCAGCCGAGGCCAGGGAUGCGGUGAGAUUGCUCCCCCUGGUGGUCUGAGGAGCCGCAGCCGAGGUGACACGUCUCAGGCGGAGGGUUAUGGCACUGGCAAGUAACCCUCCGCCUCACCGGUGCUCACAUAGUUCCCAGGCGUGCCUGGAAAGACAGCUGGCUUCGUUUUCUUCUCAGGAAGAUGUGGGGAUGGAAGGUUGUUUUUGUUCCUGUAGACCUGCCCUGUAAAACCACGAGACCGAUGGUUCAAGCUGAGCGCACAUCUCUGGCCGUCAAUCGCCCCUGUUGACACCUGGGGUUUUCCAUUGUUCUCGGGGGACUCUCUUAAGCGGAGAACAGGGAGGAACCCAGAGGGGCUGGGGUCCACAUCUCACCCUUCCUUCCUGUGUGCACCUCCGUUUAGUGCCCCGGGCUGGGUUUUUGGAGACGCGUUGAUGAACGAGAUACUGUCCCGAGGGUCAAGAGAAUUCGCUCUCUAGCCGAAUUCAGACAGGGGUGGGGAACCACAGCGGGAGGGGGAGCCUUGGAAAGCAGCCGCCCAAGCUAGAGAAAAGGGAACCGUGCCGCAAGGCGCUCAAAGGACAGAAGGAAAGGACUUUGUACGGGAGUGUGGAGAUUUCAGACGAGACAGGUCGAGUUCAGUCUAACGGAGCCACAGGACGCGAGGGCUGGAAUGCAACGUCCAUAAAUGUCAACAAAACAUGACGCUCAAAAAUCAUGGGUGUUGGGGUACAUGUCUGUAACCCCAGUGCUUAGGACACAGAGGCCAGGCCUAGACCGUAUGGCGAGGCUGUCAAAAUUCCACCACACACACAACUAAAAAUACUCAACAGUUCUUUACAACCCACUGAACGAGGCCCCAAUUUCUUACCCUGGCGUUUAAGUGCUGAGUCCACCUCGGUGUUGUUCAUUCCACCCAGGCAGGAGUCCUCGUCCUCCUGACAGGAAUCUCCGUCCUCUGACAGGAGUCUCCGUCCUCUGACAGGAGUCCCUGUCCUGUCAUCUGACAGAAGUCCCCGUCCUCCACCCAACCCCAGCUGUAUGCAGUGAACACCUCAGCCACCUAAGGAUGCUCAGUUCCCUUUGCUCCCCCCACUCUCUAGCUUGACCACAGGUAUUCUGGUAUCUUGAAGGGCUCUGCCCAGCCUGCUGCCCUCUACUCUUAGCCUGCUUCUGAGGUUCACUCUCCAAGACAGUUUCAUGACCCCCACUGUCCCAGUGGACCUCGGCGUCUUCUCAGUCGAUGGAACAUUUACAGACUUCUUGCUGGGAGUCUUACCUUCACUUUAUGGCAUCAAGCAGGAUGAAGGUCUUUUUUGUUUGUUGUUUUGUUUUGUUUUUCAAGACAGCGCUUCUCUGUAUAGCCCUAGUUGUCCUGGAACUCACUCUGCAGACCAGGUUGGCCUUGAACUCAGAGAUCUGCCUGCCUCUGCCUCCCGAGUGCUGGGAUUAAAAGCAUGCACCAACAAACUAAACUCUUGGAGGUCAAUGGUCCUACAUCUGUGAUGUGCGUGUCCCAUCGAGUCACCAGUGUCUGAAAUCCUGCUUCAGGUUUCCCCAGGCUCAUUUCUCCUCCUGAAACAUAUCACCACCACCAUCCUUCCAGGAGCCAUGAUAAGGCCAUCCGAAGAGAGACAGCAGCAAUCUAUUAAGCCCCGGAUUCAGUCAAAGCUGUGGUUGUUGUUGGUGGACACAGAACAUUAAAAUUUUAGCGUAGACUGGAGAAGGCUUUCUUGGCUAAUUAAUCCAGCUGUGCAGCUGGCCCAGAACACGCGACAACACAGGGUCCCCUGGUCAUGAGAGGAGGGGCUGUAUUUCCAUCAUCGACUCCCCAGCCAGGCACGCUGACCUCCAAUACUGCAGGAUUUCAAGUCAGCUGCCAUGCCAGCCUUCCCUUGUGCCUACGCCAGGAUGAAGGAGAUUUGGUCAGUAACAUAUAAAAAGCUGCUCUUUGUCCGGUAAGAAAAAAGGCAAGCAUUAGCAGAUUGGUGUCUUACCCACUGUGUAUUUUGUGAUCAGAGAUGUAACAGCGUAGUAUGUCUAAGAAUAAAGACUCUGCUCUCUGCUUCCCGGAUAAGCUGAGAUCUUUGCCAUCCUUCA